GUCCCUGUCGAUUAGUGGUUAGAUCAUCACGUUGUGGUUUCACAAAUCCGUGAAGACGCAGGCUCGACUCCUGCCCGGGACA
rnacentral:tRNA from 1 species